rnacentral:rRNA from 1 species
GACGAACGCUGGCGGCGUGCUUAACACAUGCAAGUCGAACGGUGACGAGGAGCUUGCUCCUCUGAUCAGUGGCGAACGGGUGAGUAACACGUGAGCAACCUGCCCCAGACUCUGGGAUAACAGUUGGAAACAGCUGCUAAUACCGGAUACGAGACGGAGAGGCAUCUCUACCGUCUGGAAAGUUUUUCGGUCUGGGAUGGACUCGCGGCCUAUCAGCUAGUUGGUGAGGUAAUGGCUCACCAAGGCGACGACGGGUAGCCGGCCUGAGAGGGCGACCGGCCACACUGGGACUGAGACACGGCCCAGACUCCUACGGGAGGCAGCAGUGGGGAAUAUUGCACAAUGGGCGAAAGCCUGAUCCAGCAACGCCGCGUGAGGGAUGACGGCCUUCGGGUUGUAAACCUCUUUCAGUAGGGACGAAGCGCAAGUGACGGUACCUACAGAAGAAGCACCGGCCAACUACGUG